AGCAGUCGCCGCGGUAAUACGGAGGGAGCUAGCGUUGUUCGGAAUUACUGGGCGUAAAGCGCACGUAGGCGGCUUUGUAAGUUAGAGGUGAAAGCCUGGAGCUCAACUCCAGAAUUGCCUUUAAGACUGCAUCGCUUGAAUCCAGGAGAGGUGAGUGGAAUUCCGAAUGUAGAGGUGAAAUUCGUAGAUAUUCGGAAGAACACCAGUGGCGAAGGCGGCUCACUGGACUGGUAUUGACGCUGAGGUGCGAAAGCGUGGGGAGCAAACAGGAUUAGAUACCCCAGUAGUCCCUGUCUCUUAUAC
rnacentral:rRNA from 1 species